rnacentral:lncRNA from 1 species
GGAUGUGUGAUGUCUGCUCUUCUUUUCAAUGUUGUCAUUGACUGAGUGAUGAGAAAAACAACAGAAGAUGCUCCAAGAGGAAUAAGAUGGAACCUUUCAGCAACACUAGAAGAUCUUGAUUUUGCUGAUGAUCUUGCUCUUUUAUCUCAUACCCACCACCAUUUACAAGAGAAGACAAACCGCCUUAAUACUUUUGCCAGUCAAGUUGGACUUAAAUUCAGCCAAACGAAAACAAAAGUCAUGACCCUUAACAUCAAUAACCCAGCUCCAAUCCUAGUAGAUGGAAAAGAUCUUCCCAUCCAGAAACAUUUACAUACCUAGGAAGUACAAUAAGAAACGAUGGAGGUGCAGGAAAUGACAUUAUGAACAGAUUAAACAAAGC